rnacentral:rRNA from 1 species
UACAGAGGGCCCAAGCGUUGUUCGGAUUCACUGGGCGUAAAGGGUGCGUAGGCGGUCAUUUAAGUCUGACGUGAAAUCUCCGGGCCUAACCCGGAAACUGCGUUGGAAACUAUCUGACUAGAGGAAUGGAGGGGAGACUGGAAUACUUGGUGUAGCAGUGAAAUGCGUAGAUAUCAAGUGGAACACCAGUGGCGAAGGCGAGUCUCUGGACAUUUCCUGACGCUGAGGCACGAAAGCCAGGGGAGCAAACGGG